rnacentral:lncRNA from 1 species
GCAUGCCAUCUGCAGUGGGGAGGAGCCUGGCCCCUCCUCUUCCUGUGUGGAACCUGGGAAUCAAGUAGCCGGCUUGCCUUGCGGAGGAUCCUGCUUCCCCCUCCUCCACCCCAUUUUUUUCCUUUCACCCAGUAAAACCCUGUUUAACUCACCCUUCAAACCGUCUGCGAGGCUACGUUUUCGUGGCCACGGGACGGACAAGGACCCCAUCUUUAGCUGAACUACGGAAAAGCCCUGCAACACCACCAUCUCAUCGCUGACUUGGAAAUAAGCUAGCAGUGGCUGUGUCAGCAAGACCACCACAUGCAGCAAGGGUGGCCACUUCCAGCUAGCUCCUGCAUCCACAGCUGCCUCGCCCCUAUUGGCUACUGCCAUCCAUGUAACAGACUCUUGGGAAAUAUGCUCGGCUGAAAAACUGCAUUUCCCAACUCAAGACCUAAGAGGUGGUCAGGAGAUACAAGCAGGAGUCCUUGGAUGAGAUCUGUUUCCCAGAGCCAUCAUGUGCAAGACUAAUUUCGCUCUCCAUAUGAAAAGUCUUCAAGUAUUUGAAGACUGGCUGGCCAUCCUGCACACCCUGAAUCUUCACUCCUCUGGCUGCGCAUCUGGAGUGACGGAGCCCCUCCCUCGCUGUGCUUCAGCUUGUUCCUUCCCUUCUUCAGUGGGACUCCAAGGAACGAAGGUCAUAUUGCAAGUACACUUCUGUUUUUGUGGCCAUCCUCUGAUACAACCAUGUUCGGCAGGAGUCACUUGGCAACUUUCAGCUGGUGGAUGGACUGAUCUGGAGGAUCUGAGAUUGUUUCACUCACAUGCCCAGUGCCUUGCAAGGCUGGCUGAAGGGCUGGGAUCAGUGGGGCCUGGGAGGCAGAGAGCUCACCUACAGCGUCUCCAGCGUGGCAACCCCAGGGCAUCAGAACUUCUCACGUGGCACCUCAGGACUCCAGGAGCGACUGCUGCCACAAUCCAGGAGGCACUGUAUGGCCUCUGUGACUUGGCCUCAGAAGUCACACCAUGUCACAACCUUUGCACUUUGUUGGCCGAGGCAGUCACAAGGCUGCCCAGAUUCAAGGAGAGGAGACAUAGACUCUACCUCUUAGAUGGAAGAGGCAUCAAAGAAUUUGCAGCCAUUUUUAAAACAGCCAGUUUUCUUUGACUGCAUGCUUUUAUUUUCCCCUGUAAUCAUUCUCAGAGUGAGAUCUCUAUAUAGUAGGUGCUGUCAAAUGACACGGGGGAGUGUCUUUCUCAGGUCUCUUACUGGGAGGUACAGCACUGGUGUAGAUGGGUCUUUCCUCCCUGCUGUGUGUAGAAGGCUGUCACCUGGGCUGCACCAUUCUGGAUGCCACACUAUUACUGACCCAGUCUAAGACAUGAUUAACCCCUUUGGAGACAAUGUAACAUUGCCGACCCACAUCAAGCUCACUGUAUACUACAGUCUCAGCUCUUCUUCUUGCUUGCUUGGAAGUACCUGCCCUACCUGUCAGCUGCUAGUGACCCCCGACCCAUGAACAGUCCAUACCACAGUCUUCUCAUGCUCAACACCAAGCUCAUUUGAUUUCAGUUGGUACAUUUUUGUUCUUCCUCUUUAUGAGGUUCCUCAAAUCCAGGCCUGGGGAAGGCAUCUCUCUGCUGCUCCAUGACCGUCCAUGAGUCAUGGAGAGUGGCCCUGUGAUCUCAGAGGGGUUUUCAAAACCAGAGUGUGUUUGCCAACAAAAAUGAUCAACAUUGAUUGGAGGGCUGGAGAAGGAGUUAUAGAGUCUGGAAAGUGAGCCAGCUAAAUCUUCAUCUUCGAAAAUGGAGAGGUUGUAGAUAAUGUCUGAAGUUGACAGAGCAAGGAAGGACAUUCUAUAAACAUAUUACUGUAUUUGGAGUUAUGCAGGUAGCCACUGAAAAACUAAGAACAGAAAUGCUUCAAACUGGUUGCCUCUGGAAAGAGAGCUGGGAGGAAGAGUGGGCUGGGAGAGACCAGCUCUCCUCAUGCUUAGCCGUGCAGUGCAAUGUAGUAUUUUACCUUGUGCAUGGAUUUUGUAAUAAGAAAUAGCGAUGUGCAUUUGGAUAUUAAAAACAUUACACAACAA